CUUAAAAAAAAAUACUCGCGCCGUGUGGACGAUGUAAAAUGAUGUGAUUUAUUUCCUCUUUAAUUUGAAAAAAUAAAGCAAAACCCUGGCUAAAAAAAAAAAAAAAUUAAAAAUUAAUAAAGCAAUCUCUGAGCUUUCUGGGGUGUUCUCCCGGCUUACGACUGUGGAUAUUGUCCUUUGGGGGACUGCUUAUUGAAGCAGAAGGUCCACGUGGAGAAGGACACACGUGAGUCACAACCGUGCGGCGUGACCGUCCUUCCCCAGGUGACACGCGUGUGCUCAGCUCCAGAAACAACAUUAUUCCCCCAGAAGCGCCCCUGGCGCCCCUCCAGCCACCAGCCUCAGCAGACGCGCCCUCCUGUCUUCCCGCGGUCCCAGGGCAGCGGCCGGGCGUCCAAGCUGCGGCGUUUCCCUGGAGAACGGGAACAUCCUCGGGCCAUCUUCCGACGGAGCCCACGGCUCUCUGAGGCGUCCUGGGAGGGCCGUCCUCUCCGUUUCUCCCGAAGAGGCGUGUUUCCCCACCCCCUGCUAAUCUGUCUCAACGUUCAAGUUGCUCCGGGGGCGGGUCUCGCCGUCGUCAGUGAGCGGAGAAACCACAUUGGGAAUCCGGAACGGCCGAAGCCACGCUCGGUAUCCGGGGAUACCAUCCAGAGGGUGGAAGCGAAUUCUGCUGGGGGGUCCACAGCUGCCUGCAGGAGGGCCGAACUCUCUGUCUCCUGGGACCAUUUCCACGUGAGCUACUCGCUGGACUCACAG
rnacentral:lncRNA from 1 species